AUUUUUUUUGUAAUUAAAUUAUUAAGUAUAAAUUUUUAUAUUUAAUUUUAAUAAAAAAAAUUUUAUAGAAUUUUUGUUUUUGUAUAAAUUAUAGAUUAAAUAAUAAUAAUGAUAAUAAAUUUGUAUAGUAAUAGAUAUUUGAAAUAUAUUUUUAUUAUUUUGUAAGUAAAUUUAAUUUAUUGUACCUUUUGUAUCAGGGUUUAUUAAUUUAAUUUUUUGUAUUAAAAUUUCUCGAAUUAAAGAGAUUUAAAAUUAUAAUAAAUUUAUUAUUGUAAAAAUAUUUUUAAUAUAAUUUUAGUAAUGAAAUGUUAAUCGUUCUUUAUAUAUCUAGUUUUUUAAAAAAUGAAUUUAAUUCAUAUAUUUACAGUAAUUAUUUUUUUUUUGUAAAAUUUAAUUAAAAUAAAUAUAAAAAUUUUUAGGGAUUAGCUUAAAAAUUUAAUUUAUAAUAAAAUUUAUUAUUAUAAUAAAAUUAAUAAAAUUAGAAAUUUUUAUUUAUGAAAAAAAUGUUAUAAUCAAUUUUGUUAAAAAUGUAAUUUAUUAAUAAGUUUAAAUUUUUUAUUAAAAAAAUAAAUUUAAUAAUUAAUUUAUUUUAUAAUGAUAAAAUUAGUAUUAAUUUAUUUAUUUAUAUAAAUUUAAUUUAGAUUAAAAUAAGGAAUUCAGCAAAAUAAUAGUAUUCACCUGUUUAUCAAAAACAUGUCUUUUUGUUAAUAAUUUAAAGUCUAACCUGCCCACUGAUUAAUUUUUAAAGGCCGCAGUAUAUUGACUGUGCAAAGGUAGCAUAAUCAUUUGUCUUUUAAUUGAAGGCUGGAAUGAAUGGUUGAAUGAAAUACUAACUGUCUCAAUUUAAUAAAUUAAUAAUUUAGCUUUUAAAUUAAAAGGUUUAAAUUAUAUUAAAAGACGAGAAGACCCUAUAGAUUUUUAUAAUUUUAUUAAUAAUUUUAUUUAGUAAAAAAAAAUUAAUUAUAAGAAAAAUUAUUUGAUUGGGGUGAUUAGAAAAUUUAAUAAACUUUUUUUAAUUUUAAACAUUGAUUAAUGAUUAAUUGAUCCAGUAAUAUUGAUUAAAAGAUUAAAUUACCUUAGGGAUAACAGCGUAAUUUUUUUAAAGAGUUCUUAUCGAUAAAAAAGAUUGCGACCUCGAUGUUGAAUUAAAGGUUAUUUUUAAAUGUAGAAGUUUAAAGUUUAGGUCUGUUCGACCUUUGAAUCUUUACAUGAUUUGAGUUCAGACCGGUGUAAGCCAGGUCGGUUUCUAUCUUUAAUAAAUUAAAAUAUUUUAGUACGAAAGGACCAAAUAUUAAAAAAAUUUUUUUUAAAAUUGAAUAUUAUUAAUAUA
rnacentral:rRNA from 1 species